AGCAAAAAAAAAAAAGCCUAUGCUGGCAAAACUUACUGGACCUGGAGAGAGGAAUCCUCACUCACAGACACCAGCAGGCCGGCUCUAGCCGUAGGAAACCAAAGAGCUCCACAUGGCUCAUUCAUUACAUCUGGUCAUCUACCUGAGCCUGAAGUCAGACUGCUGGAGACACAGCUCAGCUCACUUGCUAACUGUGUGACCCAGCUUGCACAAGACAAGCUUCUCUGGCCUGUUUAGUACCUACCUCACAAAGGUUUGGUGGGAGUUCAGCAAAGGAACAGUAGUGGACACAUACAUGGAUGAACUAGUGCCUGGCCCACGAUGGCAGUGACCUCUGGGAUAACUCAAGAGGCACCAUAGUGCUGAG